rnacentral:rRNA from 1 species
UGGGGAAUAUUGCGCAAUGGGGGGAACCCUGACGCAGCCAUGCCGCGUGAAUGAAGAAGGCCUUAGGGUUGUAAAGUUCUUUCGGUAUUGAGGAAGGUUGAUGUGUUAAUAGCACAUCAAAUUGACGUUAAAUACAGAAGAAGCACCGGCUAACUCCGUGCCAGCAGCCGCGGUAAUACGAAGGGUGCGAGCGUUAAUCGGAAUAACUGGGCGUAAAGGGCACGCAGGCGGUUAUUUAAGUGAGGUGUGAAAGCCCCGGGCUUAACCUGGGAAUUGCAUUUCAGACUGGGUAACUAGAGUACUUUAGGGAGGGGUAGAAUUCCACGUGUAGCGGUGAAAUGCGUAGAGAUGUGGAGGAAUACCGAAGGCGAAGGCAGCCCCUUGGGAAUGUACUGACGCUCAUGUGCGAAAGCGUGGGGAGCAACCAGGAUUAAAUACCCUGGUAGUCCACGCUGUAAACGCUGUCGAUUUGGGGGUUGGGGUUUAACUCUGGCGCCCGUAGCUAACGUGAUAAAUCGACCGCCUGGGGAGUACGGCCGCAAGGUUA